UACAGAGGUGGCAAGCGUUGUUCGGAAUUACUGGGCGUAAAGGGCGCGUAGGCGGUCCUCUAAGUCUUGUGUGAAAUCCCUCGGCCUCAACUGGGGAGGGUCACGCGAUACUGAUCGACUCGAAGGCAGGAGAGGGAAGUGGAAUUCCCGGUGUAGUGGUGAAAUGCGUAGAUAUUAGGUGGAAUACCGGUGGCGAAGGCGCAAUUGGCCCAACACU
rnacentral:rRNA from 1 species